rnacentral:sRNA from 1 species
UGCAGUCGACUUGGCCGCGAUGGUCUC